rnacentral:rRNA from 1 species
GACGAACGCUGGCGGCGUGCCUAACACAAGCAAGUCGAGCGGGAUCCAUCUGGUGGCAACACCGGGGAAGAUCUAGCGGCGAACGGGUGAGUAACACGUGAGAAACCUGCCCCGAACUUCGGGAUAACACGGGGAAACCCGUGCUAAUACCGAAUACCCUCUACCGGUCGCAUGGCCGGCAGCGGAAAGAUUCAUCGGUUCGGGAGGGUCUCGCGGCCUGUCAGCUAGUUGGCGGGGUAACGGCCCACCAAGGCAUCGACGGGUAGCUGGUCGGAGAGGACGAUCAGCCACACUGGGACUGAGACACGGCCCAGACUCCUACGGGAGGCAGCAGUGGGGAAUCUUGCGCAAUGGGCGAAAGCCUGACGCAGCAACGCCGCGUGCGGGAUGAAGGCCUUCGGGUUGUAAACCGCUUUCAGCAGGGAAGAAAAUGACGGUACCUGCAGAAGAAGCCCCGGCCAACUACGUGCCAGCCGCCGCGGUAA